UGGUUUUAUGCUAUAUAAGCUGUGCAAGAUUCUGUAAUCAGGGGGAUUGCUAGUUUACUGGUACCCCCCCAUGCAUGCAUGAAAAUAAAAAGGCCUCAGGCGAUUCUGAUUCAAACACAACGCGUGGUCAUUUUUCCACAACAAUCUUGGUGCCGUGACUCGGAUCCACAGACUGUCCACCGGACCAGGAGACCGCGGACCAUUCCCCUCCGAACCCAGCCGGCACUUGAUAGGUGAGAGACCUUUUAAAUCUCUAUUUGGGUUAUCGGUGGAGGACUGUCCGUAGGCCCUGGGUCGGGUGAGUAGCAAGCUGGAUACGGACCUUUUGCUGGCAGACUCGCCUGACAACUUUUUGGUUUCCCGGGAGGAGCCACGGGUAAGUGGCGGGGAGUCGGGGUUCCCACAAGGAUAGGCCUUGGUUUUAGGCCUUACCUCAGUGUUUGUGUGCAAGUGUGAAUGACUGAAAACGAAUGAGGGUCAUAGGAAGACGCCCAGAGCUUUCUGCGAGGCCUUGAGGCUUACGACCAGGAAUGUCUCUAAAGCAAGCCCUAUGACCCAUGUGAAUGGCCUGAUAUUGUUCAGGGAAAAAGGGAUUAUAGGUUUAGGAAGACGCUAUCGGAAACCUAGGGAUUGAGAGAUUGGAUCUCACAGUCGGUAACCUCGGGAUAGCUGAC